rnacentral:rRNA from 1 species
GACGAACGCUGGCGGCGUGCUUAACACAUGCAAGUCGAACGGAAAGGCCCCCACUUUUUUGGUGGGGGUGCUCGAGUGGCGAACGGGUGAGUAACACGUGGGUGAUCUGCCCUGUACUUCGGGAUAAGCUUGGGAAACUGGGUCUAAUACCGGAUAGGACCAUGGUUUCGUGUCUCAUGGUGGAAAAAUUAUUGUUUUUGUGCAGGAUGAGCUCGCGGCCUAUCAGCUUGUUGGUGGGGUAAUGGCCUACCAAGGCGUCGACGGGUAGCCGGCCUGAGAGGGUGGACGGCCACAUUGGGACUGAGAUACGGCCCAGACUCCUACGGGAGGCAGCAGUGGGGAAUAUUGCACAAUGGGCGAAAGCCUGAUGCAGCGACGCCGCGUGGGGGAUGACGGCCUUCGGGUUGUAAACUCCUUUCGUUAGGGACGAAGCCGCACCUUUUUUGGGUGUGGUGACGGUACCUUUGUUAAGAAGCACCGGCUAACUACGUG